CUAUAAUCUGAAGCUCUGAGACUAACUAAUUCAGUGUAGUGGAUCAUGCAGACAUUCUUUGAAAGUGCUCAAACACCACUUAUGUGAGAACUGACUGGGGAACUGGUCUAGUGCUGGCACUCUAAGUAGGUGUAGGCUGUUUUUCCAUCCAAAGCAUUUAACUACGCAGCCUCUCAGAACUAGAAUUAGACUGCAAGCAAAAAAGUUUCCAGGGUUUGUGGUUAACUCUCACAGGAUGCUGAUGGUGCUAUGCACUUAAGUCACUUCUUAAAAAACAACAACAACAAAACCCCCAAAUAAAUGUCCGCGAAUUUAACGUGACUUUGCGUGAAACUGUUGUUCCUCUCAGGCGUCCUCUUCUCCCUGUGCAGUGCUCAGGCUGCCCACCCCUCCCCAAAACAGCUCCAUCCCCACUGCCUACUGGGAGCACAGGGACAGCCGCGGCACAGGCAGGCGGUCUCAGGCCUACAGCAGCGCCUGCACUGUGAGAGCGGCCCAGGCUCUGCGGCCGAGGGCAGUGUUGGCUCAUGACUGAAGCAUUGCCAGCAGGGCUGUCUUUUUGCUGGAGAAGGGCAGGUCGAACACCCUGGGACAUCGUGGAGGAAACAGGGUGCAGAAUGUGGAGGAGAGAUGAGGCUCUACCUCAGAGCAUGGUGCUAGGGGCUGUUCUCUCAGCUGUGCCUCUUGAGAAGUGAGGAAGAGCAGAAAUUUUUAAUGCAAAGCUAAUUAAGCAAGAGCCUGCAGCCAGCUCAAAGACCUGGCUGAUCUGUAGUAGUCUGGGAAGAGUCCAUCUCAUGGUGACACAAGUCUGGAGACUACUGCAUCUGCCAAUCUAUGUCAGGAGCAGCACAACAGUCACGUCGGGGAGGCAGUAAGAGGGGAAGUGACGAGUUACUUCCAAAUACGACGAAAGAAAACAUUCAAAAUGUUUGUCUUAGAACUAUUUUUCUGGUUAAUGUUUAACCUUUCAUUUUUCCAAAGCAAUGUUCUUGUUAUCAGCUCCAUUGCUGAAGGUCACAUAUAGAAUAAAAGUCAUAUCUUAAACA
rnacentral:lncRNA from 1 species